AGCGAACGCUGGCGGCAGGCCUAACACAUGCAAGUCGAACGAAGUCUUCGGACUUAGUGGCGGACGGGUGAGUAACACGUGGGAACGUGCCUUUAGGUUCGGAAUAACUCAGGGAAACUUGUGCUAAUACCGAAUGUGCCCUUCGGGAGAAAGAUUUAUCGCCUUUAGAGCGGCCCGCGUCUGAUUAGCUAGUUGGUGAGGUAAAGGCUCACCAAGGCGACGAUCAGUAGCUGGUCUGAGAGGAUGAUCAGCCACAUUGGGACUGAGACACGGCCCAAACUCCUACGGGAGGCAGCAGUGGGGAAUCUUGCGCAAUGGGCGAAAGCCUGACGCAGCCAUGCCGCGUGAAUGAUGAAGGUCCUAGGAUUGUAAAAUUCUUUCACCGGGGACGAUAAUGACGGUACCCGGAGAAGAAGCCCCGGCUAACUUCGUGCCAGCAGCCGCCGUAACAC
rnacentral:rRNA from 1 species